UACGUAGGUGGCAAGCGUUAUCCGGAAUUACUGGGCGUAAAGCGCACGCAGGCGGUCUUGUAAGUUUGACGUGAAAGCUCCCGGCUUAACUGGGAGAGGUCGUUGAAGACUGCAAGACUUGAGGAAAUGAGAGGGGUGUAGAAUUCCCGGUGUAGUGGUGGAAUGCGUAGAUAUCGGGGGGAAUACCAGUGGCGAAAGCGGCACCCUAGCAUUUUUCUGACGCUCAUGUGCGAAAGCGUGGGGAGCAAACAGG
rnacentral:rRNA from 1 species